rnacentral:rRNA from 1 species
ACGUGGGCAACCUACCCGGAGAUGGGGGAUAACUCUUCGAAAGGAGAGCUAAUACCGCAUAACACCCCGAGGUUUUCGAAGCUCGGGUUCAAAGCUAGCCUCUGCUUGCAAGCUAGCGUCACCGGAGGGGCCCGCGCCCCAUUAGCUAGUUGGUGAGGUAACGGCUCACCAAGGCGACGAUGGGUAGCCGGCCUGAGAGGGCGACCGGCCACACUGGAACUGAGACACGGUCCAGACUCCUACGGGAGGCAGCAGUGAGGAAUCUUGCGCAAUGGGCGAAAGCCUGACGCAGCGACGCCG